AUGAAUAUGAAGUACAAUCUACAAAUCCAUCAAUAUUACAUCAAAGAAAACAUGAAAGAUCAAUUACAAAGUAAAAUCAGUUUUUCAAAUCCGUACCAAAGCAGUUCAACUCAGCUUGUGUCGCUUCAGAAACCAAUGCCCUGUAUAUCAUCAAAAAUAAGUGCAAUGAAUCAGUUAAACCAGAGGAAACAACUCACAAUAAGUAAACCAGUGCACAACUCAUCAAUAGGAAAUCCAUAUCAUGUCAGAAAAUUUUAA